CACUGGUCGAGUGAUCCUGCGCCGAAGAUUUCCGGGGCUAAAACUUACUACCGAAGCUACGGCAUCAGUAAUGAUGGGUAGGGGAGCUUCCCAUACGGGUUGAAGCAUGACCGUAAGGACAUGUGGACAGUAUGGGCGUGAGAAUGUUGGCAUGAGUAGCGAGAUGUGGGUGAGAAUCCCACAGGCCGUAAACCCAAGGUUUCCAGGGGAAGGUUCGUCCGCCCUGGGUUAGUCGGGACCUAAGCUGAGGCCGAAAGGCGUAGGUGAUGGACAACAGGUUGAUAUUCCUGUACUACCGAUAACCGUUUG
rnacentral:rRNA from 1 species